AGUGAACGCUGGCGGUAGACCUAACACAUGCAAGUCGAACGGCAGCACAGUAAGAGCUUGCUCUUACGGGUGGCGAGUGGCGGACGGGUGAGGAAUACAUCGGAAUCUACUUUUUCGUGGGGGAUAACGUAGGGAAACUUACGCUAAUACCGCAUACGACCUACGGGUGAAAGCAGGGGAUCUUCGGACCUUGCGCGAUUGAAUGAGCCGAUGUCGGAUUAGCUAGUUGGCGGGGUAAAGGCCCACCAAGGCGACGAUCCGUAGCUGGUCUGAGAGGAUGAUCAGCCACACUGGAACUGAGACACGGUCCAGACUCCUACGGGAGGCAGCAGUGGGGAAUAUUGGACAAUGGGCGCAAGCCUGAUCCAGCCAUACCGCGUGGGUGAUGAAGGCCUUCGGGUUGUAAAGCCCUUUUGUUGGGAAAGAAAAGCAGCAGGUUAAUACCCCGCUGUUCUGACGGUACCCAAAGAAUAAGCACCGGCUAACUUCGUG
rnacentral:rRNA from 1 species